UGGUGCAGCGGUUAGCGCAUCUGACUGACGCGCUGAAGGUCGCGGGUUCGAUUCCCGC
rnacentral:tRNA from 1 species